AACGAACGCUGGCGGCAUGCCUAACACAUGCAAGUCGAACGAGACCUUCGGGUCUAGUGGCGCACGGGUGCGUAACGCGUGGGAAUCUGCCCCUUGGUUCGGAAUAACUUCGGGAAACUGAAGCUAAUACCGGAUAAUGACGUAAGUCCAAAGAUUUAUCGCCAAGGGAUGAGCCCGCGUAGGAUUAGCUAGUUGGUGGGGUAAAGGCUCACCAAGGCGACGAUCCUUAGCUGGUCUGAGAGGAUGAUCAGCCACACUGGGACUGAGACACGGCCCAGACUCCUA
rnacentral:rRNA from 1 species